UCGGCCUCGCCCUGCUCAUCUGCAGAAUGGGAGCUCGGGGCGCCCAGGCCUGUGCGAGCCCCCGGGGCUGUAGAUGACCAGAUCCAGGCCUCCGAUGACCGACCUCUCUUCUGUGACACUUGUGGAGAGUCCCUUCUGCUGCUAGAUUUCAUGCCCAUGGUCCCAGGCAUUAGGACAGGAUGUCGGUGGGACUGAGCUGUCCGCAGCCGGAGCCAGCCCUGCCCUCUGCCUGGCCCUAGGGGGAGUGGGCAUCCGGGUCACGAGGACACACAGGGCUCGGUGCCACCCCGCCCGGAGCGGCCUGGCCAGGAGCUGCCCCAGGGAAGCAGCCUCCACCGUGCCCGCCGUCAGCCAGCAGGGACAGAGGCCAGGAGGCAAGAGGGCCUGGGGCAGGUGACCUGAGUGGUGGCCCUGGCACAGCAUGGGGCAUCCCCUACCUCUGCCUCCCUUGCCCUCCCCGCCCCACCACCUGUCCAUGCCCCUCCCAGGACCUGCACACAUGCCUGAAAGCCCCCUCGAAACCGGGGGCCUGGCUGGGAGUGGGAGAUCUCACUUUCCCCAGAGCCACCUGCGUGUCCACUGUCUUGGCCCACGGGGCAGAGAGGAAACAGGACGACAGGCCAAGGGCCCAUCCGCGGUCACUGGGGCACAGUGGUGGCCCCGGCCACCUGCUGGCCCGGCCCUGCCAGCCCCCAGCCUCACCCGGCCCCACCUCGGUGGCUGACCCCGGAGACAGGACGGGCGCGGGCCCACGGCGCCCAGGCACCCUCAGCCAAGCAGGCCGCCCGGCCACACCCACGCCUGCUUUCUCCUCUCCCUGCCCUCCCCGCCCCCACGGAGGACAGCCGCCCUGGCUCCAUCCCCAGGACUGCUGAGCCACCGGAAUGGAGCGGGUUGUGAGUCAGUCAGCAGGAAGGGACACUUACAGCCACUUGCAUCAGAUGUUCCUGCCGCGUGGCCCCACGGCCAGAAGCCCCAGCUCGUGACCCCAGCUUCUCUGGGGAGCUCCUGGGGCUUGGGGUUCCUGUCCAUGGAUGGCCAGACACGGAGGGACACGUGGAGAAGGCACAGGCUGGGUCGGGCGCCAGCCUCGGACUCCCAACUUCACGUGUCCCCACUACCUACAGCCACCAAGUGCCAAUCCUGGUCCCCACACCCUGAUACCCCUUAGAAGCUACACAGGGACCCAGGUCCUCCCGCACCUGUGCGGGGCUUUAAGGCAGCCCUGUGCCCCCUCUGAGUUUCAGGCCUGGCUCUGGGUAAAGAUCGGGAGCCCCAGCCCUUCCCUCAAAUGCACUGGCUUGUGAGGAUACUGCAGACACCCCGGCGCCGGCCCCACGGCCCUGCCCCACGCACGGCCCGCUGCUCUCUCCCGGUGUGCACGCACCUGCUGGUGCCAGGUGAACAAUACCUGGGAUAUGCUUCUGCACGGGCUUUCACUGAGAAGUGUUCAUUGUUUAUCUGCGGCUCGCGUGUAACCAGGUGUUCUGUAUUUUAUUGGGCUAAAUCUGGGCGCUCUGUCUGCUGGGUCGUGGAGGCCCUGAGCACCCCAGGGCACCCCCCCCCCCAGGAGGUGAACGCUGCACACCCAAGCCCCUGGAUCCCAGGGCUCUGGCCACUCAGCCAGGCCAAGGAGGGGGUGGUCAGAGAGGGCAGCACCCAUCACAGCCUGCUUGCCUCCUGGCUCAAAGGAAGCAGGGCGAAGCAGAGGCCCUAGGGUGGAAGUCAGGGCCUGCCUGGUGCCUCCUCUGGGGUUUUGGGGGAGACCCCACCUAUGACAUAGGUGAGCAUCACCCUGCAGAAGCCAGGGGCUUCUCAGGGCCCGAUGGGCAGAGACUCAGAAAGAGCCGGGUCCCUUCACCUCUCCUACCUCUCCUCCCGAGCCCCCUACAGUAGCUGGGGGAGGGGAGCGGGGAGGCGCGGGAGGGGAAGCCCAGGAGCGAGGGAAGUGCUGCAACCCCUGCAGCAGGCUGGCCUCAGCCCCUGCUUCCUGCUUGUCCGCCUUUUUCAGGCAGCCUCUCCAUCCUAACUGGCCCCUGGUCCCCCAGGGCCACCCUGAGCCCCCUCCCAGGCUGGCUGCCCUCCCUGGUACCCGUUGGGUUGAAAAGUAUCCUCGUCCAGGGCCCUACCUGUCCUGGCCCCCAGCUCUCUGGCCUUUGCCUAGGCGGGAACCAGGGAUGGCACCUCUCGGCCUCCCAGGGACGGGCACCAGGAGCUGGGCAGGUGAGGAGCAGGGGCCAGGGCCUAGUCCUCCUGCCUCACCUGCCACCCCCAGGCAGGUCAGAGGCGGGCGAGGGGUGGGUAGGCGACUGGCUCACACCUCUCAGCCCUCCCUCCCUGGCCCCUGGGCACCCAGCUCCUCGGAAUGGGGCCUUCCUCCAGGAAGCAGGUCGGCCGCCUGGAUCAGCGGCAGGCCCACAGCAGGACGGGGCUGAGCGCCCCCGCUUCCCCGUGCCCACUGGCGGCCCCACUGCCUCGCCCCUGGCCAGCGUGACUCAGGCACCAGGCGCCUGCUCCGAGGCCAGCCCCAGUGCUCAGGCCUGGGGGCUCCGGCACCCCUGGGGGGCUCUGACCAGUCCUGCUCAGGGGGUGCGUGUGGACCAGUUAAGCACAGCUGUGCGGAGCCCUGGACACACCCGAGUGCAAGUGCCUCAGUGCAUCCCGCUGGUGCCGUCCAUGGCUCGGGGUGGGCACAGAAGCCCGGGCCGUGUGCCCAUCCCAGGUGCCCCCACCCGUGUAGAAGCGCCCGUGCGUGCAGCACAGCCCACCCCUGGCACUCACACCAGGGUGAGCUCCCCUCGCGGCCCCCACCGUCCCACGCACAGGGCCGGCGAUCGCAGGACGCGGCUCACCGGGUGGGCAGAAGCCAUGGCUCUCCUCCGGGGGUGAGCCUGCCCCCCAGGGGACACUGGGCGGUGUCUGGGGACCCUUGUGGUUGUCGUGACUGGGGUGCUCCUGCGUCAAGGGGGCGGGGGCCUGGGAUGCUGCUCCACAGCCCACAGUGUGCAGGGCAGCCCCCAGGUCACUCGUGCUGAGCAGGAGGCCUGCCGGAAGGCCCCCGAGGUAGCGGCCACCUCCCUGUCUCCCAGCUAGGCGGUGCCCGCAAGGGGACCACGUGGUCAGGCUGCCUGAGCGCGAGGCAGCCAGUCUGCAUGGUGCCCAGGGCUGGGCCUGGCUUCCGUCUUGGGGAACACAGCUGCCCCCACUGGCUGCGCUCCAGGGUCAGGCUCCGGGACCGAGCCUGCACCCUGGAGGUGUGGCUGCACCUGCAAAGACGGGCGGGAGCCAAGGCCCUUGUUCAUUUCUGUUCCCUGUGGUGGGUGUGGACGGCAACCCCACGCAGGUCCACACGUGACGGCGAACACAGCCAGACGCCCACCCCCACCGGGGGGACAGAACUACUCUAGGUGCUGGGACACCUUCCCCAGAAAGGUGUGUCCACGACCCACGCCUCGGAACCCUGAACGUGGCAUCUGGAAAUUGGGCCUCGGUAGGUGUAAUUCGUUCAGAUGAGGUCGCCCUGAGGCAGUGACGCCAGAAGAGGGGUGGAGAAGACAGCUACCUGAAGGUGAGGCCGGCCUGGGGGAGGGACGGGGACCGCCAGCCAUCACUGGAAGCUGGGAGAAGCAGGAGGGAUCCUCCCCUGGAGGCUCAGAGGGGGGGUGGCCCUGCCGAGACCUUGAUCCCCAGACUCCGGGUCUCCAGAAUCGAGCAUCAACGUCUGUUGUACUAAGGCUCCAGGUGUGCGGGCUCCGCUGCAGAAGCUAGCACAAUCACACAACUCCUGUAGGAGCGCACACGGGCGCACACACGCACACACAAACACAUCCAUUGUUUUCAGCCCUGUUCCACGAGCACUUCCUGUGUGCAGGCCCCACGCUGGGCUCUGGCCGCAGUGAGCAGAUCUGUGCUCUCGUGGAGCCCGCCCUCUGAGGGGGAGCAGUGGCCCAACUGUACCCACCCGAGCCACGAGCCACGCCAAAGUGCCAGGAUAUCUGCAGGUGACCACACGGAUGCACAGAGAGGGCUCUGGCCUGGAGGCAGAGGUGGGAGGGGACAGCCAGGACGAGGGAGGAUGAGGAGACUUCUGGGCAGGCAGGUCUAGCAGCCCCACCCCAGGCACCUGGAGCCAACGUGGAUGUCUACACACACGCGCAGGGGACAGAGGAGGUCGGGGAGGGGGUGUGCUGGCUGCAGUCAGGUGUGGCCUCGGCAGGAGGCACAGAGGCUCCCCCACUGGAAGGGGACAACUCGUCUUCAGGUCAGCAGGGCCUGGUCGGGGGACAGCUGGCCUUGGGUGGCAGGAAGCCUCUAGCCAGAGGAGCUGAGCCCCGGAGGAGAGGCAGGUCGGUCCACCCCACAAGCUUGCACUUCCAUGGGCCAGGGUACGGGGUGAGGGCUCUGCAGCACGGGCUUCGGGGACAGGGGUCACGGGGGCCCUAACCACAAUGGGCUCUUUCUUGGUCCAGGGUCCCUGGUCUCCCUGAAACGCUCCUUUGCAGGACUGAAGGAAGGUCCUGCGCAGACCUCAGCGGUCCGCUUCCCUGCCAGCAGCUGGGCAAACUCUCGGGGAGUCCCCUGGAGGAGGCAGCUGGGUCUCAGAGCCUGUCGGGGUGCAGCAGCGGGACAGCCGGGGCCAGGAUCGGGGCGUGCAAGGGGGCGCGGGCAGGCUGCAGGACCCAUGGGGGCAGAGCCGCAGCAGCUCUGCGGUUGGGGAGCUGCAAGAGGGGCCCUGGGGUGUUCGCGGGAGGGGAGGCUGGCCGGCAUCCUGGGGGCUUGCCAGGGCGCGGGGCCCGGCUCCA